ensembl:snoRNA SNORD115 Small nucleolar RNA SNORD115
GGGUCGAUAAUGAGAACCUUUUAUUAUCCUGAAGAGAGGUUAUGACUUAAAAUUCAUGCUCAAUAGGAUUACGCUGAGGCUC